UAUAAAGAUAAGCUAAGUUUCAAGCUAAUGGGCUCAUACCUCAUUUAUGAGAGUAAUCUCUCUUUAU
rnacentral:tRNA from 1 species